ACAGAGUGGAGGGACUGGGAGCGUACGGAGAAGCCCUGCCCACAGGCAAGGGCAUGCAGGUGGGGCAUGGGCAUGCGUUCCUGGGGGUCCGAUAUGGUAAUGGAGCCCAUACAUCACGGGAUGCACCAGUCCACACUGGCAACCCCCAAAAUAUAGCAACCUGCUAUUGCCACAGGGACCCUCUGGCCACUUGUCCUAAUUUCCUACAACCUCUUUCUGAAGUGAACCCAGUGACAUCCUAGCAUUCACAGAGAAGAAUGAGCCCCAGCUCGACUGUACGGUGUGUAACGAAUGUUCUAUUUCUCUCAUUCCUGGCGUGGUCUAAGUUCUGAGCUACCAGGCCGUUGUAGGCUCUUAGCCCAUUCUCCUCAACGU